CUAAACGUAGAGAUUGUAUAUAUCUUUUUAAGCUGUGGGUAAUUCUGUAAUGUUAGUUUGGAUUUGCUAAUGCUAUAUAAACAAUCUUCAAUUAUAUUAUAUAGUAAGAAGAUUGAUAGUGUUAAUUCAGGAAAAAAACUAGAUAUGUAGUAUUUGACUUUAACAUGUGUCACAUAUGACAUCUAAUUGAAAGAUUGAUAAGUGGGCCUAGACUGCCAGGCCCAACAAGUCGUAUAGCCCAACUGAAGUGAAACAUAAGCAGAAGCAAAGAGAAAAAGAAAAAAGAAACAGGUGAUGGUGCGUUCGUCGCCGAAGGAAAAGACUCCGACACUGUACAAGCUGAUAGAUCUCGUUUUCGUGACCGCAUAUGGCGGUGUCUUCGGAGCUGUUCUCGCCGGUAUAGCAGGAAUGGUUAUCGGCGGACAGCUGGCCAUAAACUCACAGAGCCAAGCUCAGGGAGCUUCAAGAAGUGAACAUUCCACCAGGGCCAAGGCUUUUGGUACUUGAUCAUAUCAAGAGGUACCCUAAGAAGGUAAACCGCUAAUGAGACAAGCAGUAAUUUGACUCCAACCUUUUUGUCUAUAUGGUGGUUGUUGCAUCUGUGUGUCUUAAAUCUCUGUUGUACCAGUAAAAUGCCCAGCACUAUUGGGUCGGACGUAGUCCGGAGGCGACACUCGUUAUCAAGGUUGACAUCUGGGGGGUGCGGGGGCCGCAGACCCCCGCGGUACGGUAUGCUUUUUUGGUUUGGGAAAGUUACUAUUUCUAUUAGGAAAAGAAAAUCGGGUUUUUAAGGCUGUAUAAAUAUGGGUCUAAGGGUUUGUAAAUUAUUAUCACAUCAUUAAUAAGAAACCCUAAACGGGUAUUUGCCUCAAUACGUUUUCUUCUCUAUUCUUCUUCUAACCUAAACGACGGCUGUUCUCAACAGUGGUGGUGGUGACUUAGAAUCG